UACCAGCACCCCGAGUGGUCGGGACGUUUAUUGGGCCUAAAGCAUCCGUAGCCGGUUCUACAAGUCUUCCGUUAAAUCCAGCUGCUUAACAGAUGGGCUGCGGAAGAUACUAUGGAGCUAGGAGGCGGGAGAGGCAAGCGGUACUCGAUGGUAGGGUAAAUCCGUUGAUCCAUUGAAGACCACCAGUGGCGAAGGCGGCUUGCCAGAACGCGCUCGACGGUGAGGAUGAAAGCUGGGGAGCAAACCGG
rnacentral:rRNA from 1 species